UGACUGCCGGCUAAAAGUCGGAGGAAGGUGGGGAUGACGUCAAAUCAUCAUGCCCCUUAUGACCUGGGCUACACACGUGCUACAAUGGGCGGUACAAAGGGUCGCGAACCCGCGAGGGGGAGCCAAUCCCAAAAAGCCGCUCUCAGUUCGGAUUGCAGGCUGCAACUCGCCUGCAUGAAGCCGGAAUCGCUAGUAAUCGCGGAUCAGCAUGCCGCGGUGAAUACGUUCCCGGGCCUU
rnacentral:rRNA from 1 species